ACCCUGCCCCAAGGCUGCACUCUUGUGUCUUGACUCCUCCUCCCUGGUCUCAGCAUCCCCUCUCUUCCCUGAUUAGCAACCUUUGGCACCUGCCCUCUGCAACUCAGGGAAGCUCAUGGAGGCUGCAGUUUAUUCCCUAAAAACAAGAAAUGGGGGACCCAGAAAGGCUUGUGAGCCCAGGAGCCUACAGGGCCCUGCCUGGUUUCAACCCUCCUAGGGGCCUAUUUUAUUUUCGUCUCUUCCUCCCCAAAGUUUGAAUCCUCAGGUUCAGAAUCCAGAAACAUGCCUCCGGAUUGUGGCCCUGAAUGGCUGAUAGAGAGGGUGUUCCCAAAGGUAAGGUUUGUGUCUCUUCACACAGAGACUUCAGAGAGACUGAACCUGAGAAACACAUUGAGGAUUUAAGUGAGACACCCACCUCUGAGGGCGAGGCAGGCAGGGAGGCGAUCAGCUGCCCUGCGUGUUGUGGUACACCUGCUACCUGGGGCUUCUGAUUGUCUGGGCGGGUUACUCACUGGGAAGGUGGGGUGUGGGGGUCUUAUUCCUUAAUUUUCAUCCCAGCUUCACCUUCCCCAAGGGAGGAGGGAUCUUUGUCCUCAUCGAGCUUGAUCACACGUGUCAUGGCUUUAGUGCAUGAAGGGCACUUCUCCUCUGAUAGCUAAUUGUGUUAUAACGUUAUGAUGAUGGGGGCAUAACAAGCAACAAGUUACAUCUGGACACAGAGAUGCACCCUCUUCUCCACCUUUCUUUGUUUGCCCCCAGGGCACUUAUCACCCCAAAAGCUGUGCUUUCCUCUCACUCUGGAGGUUGUGGCUUUUCUUUAUCCACCCAUGGACCCUGCUGUUUGCAUGAUGUGUGGUUUCCUGCCAUCUGGCCCCAUGCACCCCUUCUCUGCUCAUGCCUAACCAUCUGCCUGCUGGAACGAGGGCGCGGGUCCUGGCUGUCUUUAUGCCUGGGUCGGGUCUUCAUGCCUGGCCUCACUCUGCCGAAGGCUGUGUUCCCCCAGGGUCCCUGUGCAGCGGCAGCCUUUCACUUGGGGACUGUGGGUCUGCACCUUCCAGGACAUGGACCUGAGUUUCAGAGCAUCACCUGUCCACGUGGGUGCCAAGCCUCCCUGCUCCUGCUCCUGGGGCGCUCUUGAGACCAUGGGUGCCGCCCAAGACUCUGACAUCACUGGACCGCCUCCCUUGGGCUGCUAGGGACCAGAUGCCCCACUGGGGGAGGCCUCAGCCCGCCCAGGCCCUGCCAUGGACGGCAGGCUCUUCUGCUGGGCCAUCUUUGGGCUCCUGGGAGUAGGCCACAUGGAACCUGGAGUCAGACAAAGCCCUCGCCACCACAUCACAAAGUCGGGACAGAACGUGACUUUGAGAGAGCCUCCACAGAAUGCCGACUUUUUAACGGAGCGGUUCUCAGCUGAGAUGCCUGAUGACACGUACCUGACUCUGAAGAUCCAGCCUGCAGAGCGGGGAGACUCGGCCCUGUUCCUCUGUGCCAGCAGCUCAGCCACAGCCAUGCACAGACACCGCCUGCCCUUCCACAAACUCUAGAGCUCCUCUGCUCUCCCCAGGCUCUCAGCAGCCCCUGCCCCGCCCAAGGAGGCUGGCGGGUGCGUGGUGGGUCUGCAGCUGCUUCUCAGGAGCAGAGGCCAGAAUUAACGGUGGUUUGUAGGAGAGGAAAUGGAGCACAGGUUCUCUGGGGCGGUGGAAACUGGGAAGGUUCUCCGCCCCGUGGAAUGUGGCCGUGGACCCAGCAACGGGAGAGAUGUGGCCAGUGGAUGACCUGGGGAGCCUCCAGGGAAACCUCUGUACUCCCUUGGCCUCUGCUGGUGUUAUUCUCUACAGAGCAAAACAUGUGUCUGCCUUGGAGUGGAGACGGGCCUCCUGGAGAGGAGAGAGGGA